GACGAACGCUGGCGGCGUGCUUAACACAUGCAAGUCGAACGGAAAGGCCCCUUUGGGGGUACUCGAGUGGCGAACGGGUGAGUAACACGUGAGUAACCUGCCCUUGACUUCGGGAUAACUUCAGGAAACUGGGGCUAAUACCGGAUAGGAAUCCUUGCUGCAUGGUGGGGGUUGGAAAGCUUCGGCGGUUUUGGAUGGACUCGCGGCUUAUCAGCUUGUUGGUGGGGUAGUGGCUUACCAAGGCUUUGACGGGUAGCCGGCCUGAGAGGGCGACCGGCCACAGUGGGGCUGAGAUACGGCCCAGACUCCUCCGGGAGGCAGCAGUGGGGAAUAUUGCACGAUGGGCGGAAGCCUGAUGCAGCAACGCCGCGUGGGGGAUGACGGCCGUCGGGUUGUAAACCGCUUUCAGCAGGGGCGAAGCUUUUGUGACGGUACCUGCAGAAGAAGCACCGGCUAACUACGUG
rnacentral:rRNA from 1 species